rnacentral:lncRNA from 1 species
AAAUAUCUAUCAUUACUUUUAGUAAUUACCAGCUUUGCAACUCUUAUUCUUGAAACACUAUAAAUAGGAACCUUUCACAACUGGUGAAAAAACUUUUAGCACUAUGGCAUUCUAACUUUAAAGUUAUCUUAAUUUUUUUUUUUUUGAGAUUUAUUAUCAGUCAAAUUUCCCUUUCUCUAUCUUACCAACCACCACCUGUCGCUACGCCCAAUGUUACUGGAUAUGCUCUAGUCUUCUUUUUGUACAUCCCAUUCACUUGUUUGCAACACUACCUUUCUGCACCAAAACCCUCUACAUUUACGCUUCUUACUCCUUUAGGAAUAUAUACAUUGAUGACUCUCUAAGAGUGCAUCAUUUUUAACCAUAUUUUUAGCAUAAUUCAACCUUGUCCUUAAGCAUUCUUAAGUUUUUAGCUUAGUUUUCCUUUGUACAAGCCCAAUUUUGGGCCCAAAACCCUCUAACCCGUUUGACCCAGACCCAAAACCACUAAAUCCCUAGCCCAAAACCUAUCUUCUAACCCACUAAGCCCAACAGUAGCCCAACCCAAACACCAAAACAAAAGGAACUAAAAACCCUAGCCUAAUCAGCUGCUGCCGCCCCAUGUCAGAAUCUGGCCACCGCCUCUGCUCCACCGCCACGGUCACAUCAGUCACCCACUUGCUCCACUACCUGCAAAUAUUAAAUAGAGAGAAAAGACAGGAAGUAGAAAAGAAACAUGUAAUGGCUAUAUAUAAAGCCGAAUCAAAAACCAUGAAGGGGGUCGGCAUUUUUUAGAAUGAAAAGCAAUAUUAGAUUGUAAGAACACUAGCAAAACAAGAGAUCCAGCAAUAUCAAUAACAGAAAUACCGAGAAGCAAAGUCUAAUAACCUAAGGUGACUCGUUUUUUACUUUCUUUUUCGUCUCUAUUUCUUGGCCGAAUCCAUGUUUUAUAUAUCCAUAUAUGGAUAAACAUAUAAUAUAAACACAAAGAAGAUAAACAUAUUUCUAAAACAUAAAAAAAAGAAGGGGAAAUUUUUACCUCCGACCGCCGUGUACGGCGGUCGUCGGCGGCAGAGGACAGUGGCGGUUCGCCGGAGUACUGGCCGGCCCUGGGGUGCUUGCAGAGAAACUAAGAGAGCUGCUGAAAAAUUUUUGAAAAAAAGGAUGGAGGAAGUGAUUUUUGUCUCAAAAAAUUUGACUUUUAUAGCCUGGUAAAAUGACGCCGUUUUAGGGUGUCCUAAAGAGCCCCUAAACGACGUCGUUUUGGUGAAAAAGGGGUCGACCCGACCCGUUAAGAAGGAUCCGCGUGUUUUUGUAUAAGGG